rnacentral:lncRNA from 1 species
UGUUCAUAGAAAGGAAAGCCCAUUCAUGUAGGAAGAGAAACGGACAGACUUCAGGCCUGGAGGCACAGAGUGAAAUUCCUUCAACUGCCCAGGCAACCUUUGCUGAAGGCCUUAGAUCUGAGCAUCCCUGAAGGUUCCGUCUGAGCCCCGGGGCUACCUGGCUCGGGUUCCUGUUUCCUUCUCCUUGGGACCCCUUCAUGGACCAAUCCAUGACCUGCUCCCCAGCCA